rnacentral:tRNA from 1 species
CACUCUUAAGCCAUCAGGAAAGGAAGAAGCUGAUUCUAGGUCAACUAUCCAUUGGGAGUGCCCUAUAAGUCA